UCAUACAGUCAUGCUUCUCAGUGAGACUUCGUAGUUCGUAAACAUAUUAGUAGGCUCGUCUUUAAACAGUGUUGAGAAUCAUUUGCUGUAUUUUCUCACAUUUUUUCUGUUUAUCCGCCAUUAUUGUUAGUACUAACUAUGUCCAGUAUUGAUAGUGAACGUUUUGAUGACCCACAGCCUACUGCAUAGAGUGAUAGUAGGUUUAGAAUAUAUAGGUUCAUGGAACAGGAACAUCUUUGGCAAAUCGCAAUAUGAAAGAUCUCUGACGUAAACCAGCUACUGCAGAAACUCGGAUAAGCCCAGGUAUUUUCAUGGAGGUGUUAAAGGCCCAGUGGCGGUGCGAGGGGAAGAGGAAUCUGCGAAGAGAGGAGAAGGAGGAAGAGAAUUAGAAGAUAAAAGUGAGAGGAAGAGAGAGAGAUAGAGAAGAGCUAAGGUAGAAGAGGAGGAAAAAGAAUGACGACGGAAAAAAGCAGAUAGAGAAGAGGGAGGGAAGAAAGGCUGAUAGACAAGGAAGAAGAAGAGAGGCAGUGAAGAAGAUGGAAAGGAAUGAGAUAAACAGCGAGAAGAACAGACGGAAAUGCAGGAAAAUUAAUGAAAAAAAUAUAAAUGGUAGAGAAAAUAGAGAGAUUACGAAGAAAAAGAAAACACGAGAAGGGAAGAAUUGAGGGGAAGGCAUUUUCCUCCUCCUCUUCUUCUUCUUCUCUCAGUGCGAACAAAAGUGAGGCCUCCGAAAGCAGCAGUUGUUACAAACAUUUAGUCAGAUAUUGUCAGGUGGACAAAGGCCGUCCACCGAGGCAUUGUCUCCUCAUGAAAUCUGGCCUCCGACGGACAAUUGAACCGAUGCGGUCGACCUCGAGGGUGGGGUGUCGCACCCCUAGAAGGUUCGGGGGCGGGAGGGUACGUACCUCCGUUGUGGUAUGGUUGUUUCAGAGGGGAGGGGGCGGGGGAAAUGGGGUUACUAUCUAAGGGCAUCCCUACCAACCCACUUCCCUCAUAGUCCCAAGCGUGUAUAUCCUCUACCACUCAUUAGUCAUAUGUUUAUCUGCUGGCUGGUACAAGAAAUGCAUUAAAUCGAUAUUAACUUAAUAUAAUUUCUGUUGCAUUAUCGGAGAAUUUUCACGCAAAAAGUGUGGAUAUUAAAACGUAAGUACCGUAGAUCCAGCAAAGACAAAAUCAAACACCCCAAAACGAAAAAAAAAAAAAAAAGACAAA